rnacentral:lncRNA from 1 species
UGGGGCUUUAUUUCCCCUUUAACAUCCUGUAUUCCAAGUUCACCAUGGAGAGGCGGGAGAGGUGAGACAGUAAGUCAGAGAAAGACAGGCAUGGCAAGAGGAUUUAGGUGACUUUCACAAAGACCUCCCCACUCAGCUUCAUUGUUUGUGGAACCAGAGAGACCGUGGGGCACAGCCAACACUUUGAGUGCUCAGCUGGGUGGACCUGGCCCCUGUCCUCCACAGCAGGAGUCUGGACAGUCUGGGUGGUCCUGCUCUGAGCUGAAAUAUGAUGAAGGUGUCACAAGGGAAGGAUGGUUGGCUGGACCCAGGGGGUCGGGAUAGCUUUACAGAGGAGGCUACCUGUUAGGUGCAUCUGAAACUGACUAAGGGAGGAAAGGGUUUCCAUGGCAGGGGAAGAAUGAACACUAGGCCCCAGGGACUGACAAUUGAGCGUCCAAGAGAUGGAGAUUCCCUGUCAGCACUUGUCCCCUGCAUGGCAAGGGCCUCCAAUCCAGUUCAUCUGAGACCAGGUUUUCUUUUCAGUCAUGGCGGCCACCUUGCAUAGCUAAAACUCAUUAUUUGUUUAUUGAACAGUUGUAUGCCUCUGUGUGUGUUUAUCAUGCAGGGUGUGAAAGCUCUCUAGAACAUUCACAAGCAAAGUGGGUCCAUUCUGAGGGUGGCUGGUGAGGCAGCAGCACUAUGGCUUAACUACCCCAUGCGAAGAGGGCUCUGCACUUCUGCCACGGCCAUAGGAAGAGUACUUGCUUAAAAAAAAACAACAGAUUUCUGGCACCAUUUCAGCCCUUCUGAACCAGGAACUACAGCUGCAAGGCCCAGAGAUCUGUUAAGACCCAAAUGACUGUGAUUGGACAAGUUUGGGAUCGACUGAACAGACGAAGAUCUAGCUAUACCUGUCCUGGGCCUCCCAGCAGCCACAGACACUGAGAAGGGCCCUCCCCUGUGACCUGCGAUGCAUCCCCACACCAAAAGAUGAGGUUCACCAUGGCUUCCUCUAAGGCAUUGAGUUGUGAGAGAUUGAAAGCUAGGUGGCUGGCCAUGGGAAACAUGGCUGAGAUUGCCAGGGAGGCCAGUGGCCCGCAAGGCUGAGAACAGCCCGUCAUAGAGCUUUCACUUCCAUUCCACACAGCCUUAAAAUAAAUCCUGUUGUUCUUUAGUCGCCUGGAGUGACUCUCUGUCUCUCUCCUUUUCAGCCAGAAGAGCCAAACUAAACAUCAAGAAAACACAACCAGGGAUGUCGGCUAUUAGAGCUGGCUGCCAAGGCUUGCCCACAGGGGACUCCAGGUCCUGGCACUCGGGGCCAGGCAGCAGCUAAGCUCCCAGCUGCCUCUCUUUUUACCCACUCAAGUGCCUGGCUUAAGGGACCCAGUGCAGAGAGUGGCAAAGGAAGUUUCCCAGCACUUAGCAGCUGGGAUUAACUGGGAACCAGAAAUGCUAGGAGUCAGAGCCUUGACCUUCUCCUGCGGGGCUGCUGUACAGCCCUGUGCCCAACACCACUGAAACCACACCAAGAAAAACUUUAUCUUGGGAAGAGGUUCCAAAUUCGCAUGAGCCUAACCCAUCCCUGCUACGAACAUGGGGCUCAGGGUGGGAGGAGAGGAGUGCCGAAUCGAGUUGUUGCCGAGGAUGUAGGAGUGGUCACUCGGCACACCAGCUGCUGUGGAGAAUGAUGGUCAAAAGGUGCUUUUGGUUCAUAGGCAGUUCAGUUACCAGAGAAAAAGCAAGCAGCCCCCACAGAAACCCCAGAACUAGUGCCCAAGUCAGGUUGGCACAGCUGGAACUUGCCAA